rnacentral:rRNA from 1 species
UACAGAGGGUGCGAGCGUUGUUCGGAAUUACUGGGCGUAAAGCGCGCGUAGGUGGUCUUUUAAGUCCGACUGUGAAAUCCCGGGGCUCAACCCCGUGGGCUGCAGGGGAUACUGGGAGACUGGAGACACGUAGAGGCAGGUGGAAUUCCGGGUGUAGCGGUGGAAUGCGUAGAGAUCCGGAAGAACACCGGUGGCGAAGGCGGCCUGCUGGGCAGUGGCUGACGCUGAGGCGCGACAGCGUGGGGAGCAAACAGG